rnacentral:rRNA from 1 species
UACGGAGGGGGCUAGCGUUGUUCGGAAUUACUGGGCGUAAAGCGCACGUAGGCGGCUUUGUAAGUUAGAGGUGAAAGCCCGGGGCUCAACUCCGGAAUUGCCUUUAAGACUGCAUCGCUAGAAUUGUGGAGAGGUAAGUGGAAUUCCGAGUGUAGAGGUGAAAUUCGUAGAUAUUCGGAAGAACACCAGUGGCGAAGGCGGCUUUCUGGUCUGUAACUGACGCUGAGGCGCGAAAGCGUGGGGAGCAAACAGG